AUCCUGGCUCAGGAUGAACGCUGGCGGCGUGCCUAACACAUGCAAGUCGAACGAAGCGGCUCAAAGUUUUUCGGACAGAGAGUUGACUGAGUGGCGGACGGGUGAGUAACGCGUGGGUAACCUGCCUCAUACAGGGGGAUAACAGUUAGAAAUGACUGCUAAUACCGCAUAAGCGCACAGCAUCGCAUGAUGCAGUGUGAAAAGCCGAGACGGUAUGAGAUGGACCCGCGUCUGAUUAGCUAGUUGGUGGGGUAACGGCCCACCAAGGCGACGAUCAGUAGCCGACCUGAGAGGGUGACCGGCCACAUUGGGACUGAGACACGGCCCAAACUCCUACGGGAGGCAGCAGUGGGGAAUAUUGGACAAUGGGCGCAAGCCUGAUCCAGCGACGCCGCGUGAGCGAUGAAGUAUUUCGGUAUGUAAAGCUCUAUCAGCAGGGAAGAAAACGACGGUACCUGACUAAGAAGCCCCGGCUAACUACGUG
rnacentral:rRNA from 1 species